ensembl:lncRNA
CCACAGUCUGAAGUUGUCUCAGAUCAUUCUUAUCUCAUUCAUAAUACGUAUGGAUCAUAUUUCCACCUCGCCACCACAUAAAAUGUACUUUCACAUCAGCUACUGCACAGAGCUUCACAACGUGGCUAAUGAUUAUUUUACUAAAUCAUACAGUACAUACACUAAUAACAAUGCAGAAAAAGCACACAGGUGAUAAAUGUCCUCACUCAAAUACAUUUAUAAUCCGAGUAAUAACCCCGAAGUAUAAAGAACUGCAAUGGGUAUUAACUGCAUUACCUUGAACAUACAUCUUUAAAUACCACACAAUGCUUAGUAUAAUGUGUUGUAAAUAGAGCUGCAACAACUAAUCCAUAAUAGUUGAUGAAAAUCGAUAAUGAAAAUCGUUGACUGAGCAACCCUCCUCCCGGAACGGUCAUCGACGGCGAAGUCACGUGACCCGAGUGGUGUGUUCAGGCAUAGUUCAUCCAUCUUUUUCUCUUUCUCUGGCGGUCUUUCUGAUCGCAGCUUCAGGUUGCGUUCGGUGUGUUUUAAACGCUGAUGGCUUGAUUUGUCAGGUACGACUUCUCAUCGUGAGUCAAAGUGCACUUCAGCAGCGUGGACCCCACUCACUCACACACACACACACACCCCUGUGUUCAUACAAGCCCGCUUUCUACACAACCCCGGAUCAUGCUGAUUGAUGAUGUAAGGAUUGAGGAUGUGGUCAUUUUCUUUAAUCGCAUGUCUAUCAUUAGAGAAUCCGCAUCGUGUGAUCAAAAACAGAGAACGCGUGUUAAUUUGUUAACCAUUAAAACCAGUGCCAUUAUUGGUUCUUAAUGGUAUCCACUAGACACAACAUGCCACCAAAGCAACAAAUUACCAGCAGACCUACAGGGACAUUACAGAUUCUAUGAGGGUUUCUGUUGUGAUUGAUUUUUGUUUAGAUUUUUUCAGCAGGGAAAUUCCUAUUUCCAUUUUGGGAAUAAAUCAGAACAAAGUAUAACCAAAUAAUGAGCUAAUAAAAUUAUUUAUAUGUAAUUUGCAUUCAGUCUCUCUCUCUGGCAACAAUGAGAAGCUGUGUUUUUCUUUGUCUUUUACUUUUUUUUAAGUGUACAAUAUCUGGAGGAAAAUACUAAAAUAGUUUUAUUUAAUUUUAAUAUUUAAAUGUAUUAAUUAUUGACAUCACUGCCUACUGGAUUUCCUUUUUUAUUUUAGUAAUAAAUAUAUUUUAGGAAUAAAUCAGCAAACUGUGAUUAAAUUGAUAAUGAACUAAUUAAUGCACAGAAGAAAAAAAACGUUUCAAAUUGCACUCGAUUGUUCAAUCUGGCAACAAUGAGAAGCUUUUAUUUAUAUUUACAUAAACUUCUGGGGGGAAAUACUAGAACAUACAUGUAUUCGAUUUAAAGUGGUUAAUCAUUAAUUGCAUUGUGGAUUCCUUUUUUGCGCCUUUAACCAACAGUUGAAUAAUUUAAU